CAGUAGCCACGGUAAUACGGAGGGUGCAAGCGUUAAUCGGAAUUACUGGGCGUAAAGCGCACGCAGGCGGUCUGUCAAGUCAGAUGUGAAAUCCCCGGGCUUAACCUGGGAACUGCAUUUGAAACUGGCAGGCUAGAGUCUUGUAGAGGGGGGUAGAAUUCCAGGUGUAGCGGUGAAAUGCGUAGAGAUCUGGAGGAAUACCGGUGGCGAAGGCGGCCCCCUGGACAAAGACUGACGCUCAGGUGCGAAAGCGUGGGGAGCAAACAGGAUUAGAUACCCCGGUAGUCCCUGUCUCUUAUAC
rnacentral:rRNA from 1 species